GCCGGGCGCAGUGAUGUACACCUGUCAUCCCAGUGGCUCAGGAGGUGAGGCAGGAGGAUCCUGAGUUCAAGGCCAGCCUCAGCAAUUUAGUGAGGCCCUAAGCAACUCAGGGAGACCCUGUCUCUA
rnacentral:sRNA from 1 species